CCUACGGGCGGCAGCAGUGAGGAAUAUUGGUCAAUGGGCGGAAGCCUGAACCAGCCAAGUAGCGUGCGGGAUGAAGGCCCUACGGGUUGUAAACCGCUUUUGCACGGGGAUAACACCCUCCACUUGUGGAGGUCUGCAGGUACCGUGCGAAUAAGGACCGGCUAAUUCCGUGCCAGCAGCCGCGGUAAUACGGAAGGCCCGAGCGUUAUCCGGAUUCAUUGGGCUUAAAGGGAGCGUAGGCGGGCGUUCAAGUCAGCUGUAAAAUCGCGCGGCUCAACCGCGCCCCGCAGUUGAAACUGGACGCCUUGAGUUCACAACAGGCAGGCGGAAUUCGUGGUGUAGCGGUGAAAUGCAUAGAUAUCACGAGGAACCCCGAUUGCGAAGGCAGCCUGCCGGGGUGCGACUGACGCUGAGGCUCGAAGGUGCGGGUAUCAAACAGGAUUAGAUACCCCGGUAGUC
rnacentral:rRNA from 1 species